CCGCUGAUAGAUUAUUUUUCACGUUCAUGGUGUUAUUUUCAGGUAAAACCAAAGAUAAAAAAGUAUGCUAUUGCGGCAAGUUCUGGAAGAUAAAUGAUAUCGCAACAAGCUGAAAUGAUGUUCUUAUUUUAACUCGAGUUUUCCCAUCAGUAUUUAUAAGUAAAUCAACGCAUAUCACUCUUUCAUCUAAACCGAAACUGGUCAAAUGAUAAUGCAAAUAUUAAAUGAAAUAUAUGAUACUUUUAUUUUGAGAAAAUAUGACAUUGGAUUAUACGUGCUAUUCUUGUUUUACAGGUCCUUUUACUAUCGAACUAGUCGGAAGACUGUUCAAAUAUGAGCAACGAGCAGAAGACAGAUCCAUACAGCGUGUGCCCACUAAUAAGCGUUGUACAUUGGAAGACAGGGACCACGACUUCGAUCGCUCAGAGAGAACUAGGGUCUUGUGCAUGAAAAGGUGGCUAAAGUGAGCCUAGAAAGGAAUGCUGUUAAAGGAGACCCCUUUGUGUUCGAUGGGACAGCAGUGCAAGGCAGAAUGGAAGCAAACUAUGAUCCCUCCGAGCGUUAGAAUUGGACUCGACAACUGAUGAUACACAGCAUGUUUGCGUGUUACUUGACUGCCUUUCGACUAAAAAUUCAAGGCUGCUGACAUAGGACGUUUCUUUCAAAAUUCUAUUUUAGUCAUUGUCAUGAGUCAAUAGACCAAGUUUGAAGAAAUUUUAUAUGUUGGAAGUUUUAGUUAUUACACAGUUAACUCUCGUAAGCCUUUAAGGCUACGUAUCAUGAUGUAGAUUGAACUUUUCCCGAGUCAGGUCGUUUAAACAUUUGUAGUAUUUUACAACUAACACAUUCCAGAACUUUCAGCUUCAUUUUUAUUAUUUUUAAAGACAUGUAACUUCAUGUAUAAUCAUACGUAAACAAGAUAAAACUCACACUUAUCA